AUCUUGUCAAGUUUCUCAAGCAAAGUAUUACUGCCACAUGUAGAGUACGCUGCACAUCCAUAAUCCAUCCUUGACAGGAUGAGGGCCUUAUAAAUAUCUAGGAGGGUCUUAGGGUGAGCUCCCCACCUACGAUGAGCUAGAACUCUCAUAAUGUUCAGCGAUUUUCUACAUGUAGCCGCAACAUUCUCCAAAUGCUUUGACCAUCGUAAUUCCCUAUCAAAGGUAAGUCCGAGGAACUUGACUUCUUGGACAACACUGAUUAUACGAUUGUUCAUAAACAAAACGGGGUCAUAGUGGGGCUUACGGAGUCGACAAAAGUGAACAACCUUUGUCUUCUCCUCCGACAGCACGUACCCGACAGCAUUGGCGUUAUGACAAAUGAUGUUAAUUGCCGUUUGUAGGUUUCGAGUUAUUGUGCCAACCGUCUUACCAGAACAACAAACCAUUAAAUCGUCUACGUAUAAGCAUUUAUCAAUUGACUCCUCAACACCUUUGGCUAUUUCAUUUAUGGCGAUGCCGAACAGGGAACAACUAAGUGUUGACCCCUGCGGCACACCAUUUUCUAAAACAUACUCUUUGGAGUUGAUAUCGCCGAUUCUUACACAGAACUUCCUAUCCUCUAAAAAGGAUUUUAUAAAUUUAGGUAAAUUCCCUCGAAGAUUGUAUUUAUACAUAUUUUGCAUUAUUCCAUAUCUCCAAGUCAUGUCAUAAGCACCUUUUAUAUCGAAGAAGACCGCAACCAGAUGUUCACCACUGUCAAAUGCCCUCAGAAUUCUGUCUGUCAGUUUGACCAGAUGGUCUACCGUUGACCGUCCUUUCCGAAAACCAGUUUGCAGUUUUCCCAAGCAAGAUGUCAAACUAAUUGGGCGAUAACUUUGUGCCUGCAACGGAUCUUUUCCUGGUUUCGGUAUAGGAAUUACGAUGGCUUGCUUCCAUUCUGAGGGAACUACAGUGGCGAAGCAUCUGGUUAUGGAUAGCGUCUUCUCCCGGUGAACAUGACUUGGUGUUACGGAUUGCUGCCUCCAAUUCUUCUACAGUAAAAGGUUUGGUAUCUAGAAAGGUGUUGGAAUAGUUUGACGAGCUACUGACUUUAUAGAACUGAUCUGCAAUUAUGUUAGUUAUGUCUUGCAGUUUAUUGAUAUAGCUCCGACUUUCUUCCAGACAUCAUUACUGGUAGUCUCUGGUGUCAUGGUUGUUACAUAAUGUUGCCAUGAAAUUCUUUGGGCUUCUAGUAUUCCCCUACGACACUGAGAUCUUCGUUUUUUGAACUCUACAAGAUUCUCCAACGUGACCACCACGGGACCAUCUUUCGCCUAUUGCCAGGUUUAGAUUUAGGUAUGCUGGCGUCAGCAGCGUUUAUGAUGGAAGAGCUAUCGUUUUUAUUGGAAGAUUGUGACCCCUGACUGUGAUAAUAAUGGGAAAAUGGUCACUAUGAUGUAGAUCAUCUUCCACCUCCCAUUUCAGGCUAGUAUGUAUACCUGGUGAACAUACUGAUACAUCGAUGGAGUCAAAUGUGCCUGAUCCUGCAUUGAAAAAUGUAGCGGAGCCAUCAUUUACAUCAUUUGAUCUGGAGCCCCAAACGGUGUUGUGGGAAUUAAAAUCCCCAACAAGAAUAAAUGGUGGUGGAAGCUGCCCAAUAAUUUUUCGAAUUUCUUCGACAUCAUAAUUUGUAUUGGGAGUGUAAAUAUUACAAAGUGUACACGAUCUACUAAUUUCAAGUUUAACGGCUACAGCCUGGUAAGUUGUAUGUAAUUUAACUUGUUUAUAAGGUGUUCCUUUGUGAAUGAGAAAUGCUACUCCUCCACAGGCUCU